ACAAGGCGGUUGUGUAAAUCAGCAAUCACAUUGAAGCCUUCUCACUGUCAAGAAAAUAAUUCAAGAUGACAAUAAUAGAAAUAAUAAAGCUCAUUAGAGUUCUCCUGAUUUGCUUUCUGGCUCGCUUCAGCACUGCCCAAUAUUCAGUGAGUGUGGAGAGACCAUGUCCAAUGGAAACAGUCACUUUCAUCUGCACUGCUCCUGGAGAUUCCUUGAGAUGGGUACUAUCAGAUGCAACUCCCAUCACUAUCCUCUCUUCUCCCUCUGGUCUCAAUGUACCCCAUGCUGUGUCAGGUUACACUGUGACACUGAUUGCAUUCAAUGACACUACUUUAACGUCUACUCUGUCAAGAGCAGCAGAUAAUGGGAUCACUGUGCCCUGUUUAGCUACUGUGCCUACUCUGACCACUCACUAUAGGAUCUUCAAUGAUUCGACUGGUUAGUGAGUUGCAGUUAGUGUCUCGUCUAUUGUGUGUAUACACUAGUUACAUAGAUCUAUCAGGACCACCGUCCACCAUCAGAUACUUCAUUCUGAGCAAUUCAGCCAAUGAAGUUAGUGUAUCUGUACAGUGGGACUCUCCUACUGAGACUGGUGGUAGAAAUGACCUCACCUACACAGUAACCGUCUCACCUCCGGCCCAGCUCUCUGUACUGUCCUCACAUCUACCUCUGUUACUGUGACUGCUCAAUACUAUAUGUAGACUAUAAUGUCAGUGUUAUGGCUACCAACUGUGCUGGGAACAGUACGACUGCUGAGUACAACUUUAGGAUCGAGCAUUUGGACCAACCACCAGCAGUUUGCCAGGAUCCACAGUAACCAUCCAGUGUGAUGCUGGAUAUGUGUCUGCUGUUACAAUGGUGACAUGUGAGGGUACACUGAUGUGGAGUCCAGACCCUGAGGCUAUUGAGUGCACAUCACUAACUACACCUACUCCUACAACUCUCCCCCCUCAAAUGAGGUGCACAGCUUCACUACCCCCACCACGGAAUGGCACCAUCAGUGAUCAUUCAGUACCAGCUAUUCCCGGUACACAAGUGACCUUCCAGUGUGACGAUGCACUGCUCCCUGAGGGCAUAAUGACUGUCACCUGUCUAGCUACAGGAGAGUGGGACAGGAACACGGGGGAGAUUGUCUGCAGAGGCAAGUGUAUUCGAAUACACUUGUAAUCAUACUUCUCUCCUGAACCACCUACAGCUGUUCUUUGUAAUUACGCCAGCCUAUCUGAUGGGAGUCGAUUUGAUGCAGCUGUCUCCAUCAGCGUGGUUGUCACGGCAGUUGUGUUCACCAUCAUUGGAUUAUUGAUGGGACUCUUGAUCAUGUAUUUGCUCAUGCGUAA